UACGUAGGCAGCAAGCGUUGUUCGGAGUUACUGGGCGUAAAGAGUGCGUAGGUGGUGCCCUAAGUCUGUUGUGAAAUCUCCCGGCUUAACUGGGAGGGUGCGGUGGAAACUGGGGUGCUUAAGUGUGGGAGAGGUAAGCGGAAUUCCUGGUGUAGCGGUGAAAUGCGUAGAUAUCAGGAGGAACACCGGUGGUGUAGACGGCUUACUGGACCACGACUGACACUGAGGCACGAAAGCGUGGGUAGCAAACAGG
rnacentral:rRNA from 1 species